CUGCCUCCCUCGCUCUCUCCCUCGAGCGCUCGCCCGCCCCCUCCCUCCCUCCCCUCCCUUCCCCGGCCCCGGCCCCGGCUCCGGCCUCGGCCCGUUCGCUGUUCGGUCUUCUGCAGGGAGAAUGUCGGGCUCGUCGCUCCCCAGCGCCCUGGCCCUCUCGCUGUUGCUGGUCUCUGGCUCCCUCCUCCCAGGGCCAGGCGCCGCUCAGAACGAGCCAAGGAUUGUCACCAGUGAAGAAGUCAUUAUUCGAGAAAGCCCUGCGCCCCCUGUCACCCUGCAGUGUAACCUCACCUCCAACUCUCACACCCUUACAUACAGCUACUGGACAAAGAAUGGGGUAGAACUGACUGCCACUCGUAAGAAUGCCAGCAACAUGGAAUACAGGAUCAAUAAACCGAGAGCUGAGGAUUCAGGCGAAUACCACUGUGUAUAUCACUUUCUCAGUGCUCCUAAAGCAAAUGCCACCAUUGAAGUAAAAGCUGCUCCUGACAUCACUGGCCAUAAACGGAGUGAGAACAAGAAUGAAGGGCAGGAUGCCAUGAUGUACUGCAAGUCAGUUGGCUACCCCCACCCAGAGUGGAUCUGGCGCAAGAAGGAGAACGGUAUGCCCAUGGAGAUUGUCAAUACCUCUGGCCGCUUCAUCAUCAUCAAUAGGGAGAAUUACACUGAGCUGAGCAUCACAAACCUGCAGAUCACAGAAGAUCCUGGCGAGUAUGAAUGUAAUGCUACCAACUCCAUUGGCUCUGCCUCCGUUGUCACCAUCCUCAGGGUACGGAGCCACCUUGCCCCACUCUGGCCCUUCCUGGGAAUUCUGGCGGAAAUCAUCAUCCUUGUGGUGAUCAUUGUUGUGUAUGAAAAGAGGAAGAGGCCAGAUGAAGUUCCUGACGAUCAUCAGGCAGAUUGAGCUUGAGGAGAAUCCAAGUCAAGCCUAGAAGCCACCCCAAGAUCGCAGGCCACCUGGCCUUUCAGGCAGAUUUAAGGCAUUGCAGAGCACCCUUCCAGAUUCUGAGGCGAUGUAGGGGAAUGAGGGCUCUAAGUGCAUUCGGUUGGGAAGACAACAUUCAGCUGAAUGAAUCAGUGUGUGCAACAGGUCCACCAGGAACUUCACUCAUAAGAUGGAUUCCAGAAGCAUCUUGUUUCCACUCUCCCCCAGCCCUCUUCCUCUCAUCUAGUCAGUGGCUGUGAGUAAUACCCAGCUGGAGAGAACAGUCAUUGUUUAAGUGGCUGUCUUUUGCCCUGAGGGUUUGGGGGUAUGUUGAUAUUUGUCGGUUACUAUGACUUCUUUUUUUUCCCCCCUCAAUUGCAUCAAACCCUUAAAACAUGGUGACGAUGAACCAGCUGGGCCAAUGAAAACCAACUCUACCAACAAUCACAAAGAUAAAAACUUGCGCCAGAGAAACACAAAUUAAGUACUACUUGUAACAUCCUUAGGUUCCUGAAACUGGUGGCAACAUGACCUGCUAAAUUUUCUGCUUGUACCUCUUUGGUUCUUUCCCUUUCAAGUGAGCAGCACCAUGAUGACUGUCUAAAGCAUGCCUUAUUUAGCCUCUCCUGUAAGGGUGACCUAGCCAGGUACAUUUUAAACAAUGCUUCAGUGUAGAAGGUGUAAACUAUUUUGGGCUUGAUGUGCUGUGAAUGUUGCUUUUUUUUUUCCCCCCUUUGGUAGAAUAUUUAAAUAGAAGUAAAAAGGUCCUCUGAGGAUCAGAUCAUGCAUGCACCGUUUUUUACUUAAUGCAGCUGUUAAAUUGGCAAAGCUCUAAAAUGCACUGCUGCCAUCUAGUGACACAUUUUUGUAAAGUACAGCAAAACCUACAGAUAUAUACAGUAUAUAAAUAUAUAUAUAUAUUUAUAUUUUUGGGGUGGGAGAAAUCCAAAAUAAAAUAAAUGCUUGUUUCAUUUUUAAGCUGCUGAUACUCAUUCCUUACUGUAUGUUGUCAGAUGAGGAAACUGUUCAGUUCUGGUACAUAAAGAUGAGUAAUAUAAACUGAAAUCUAUAAUUUUAAGGGCUUAACCUAUGACUUUGAUAAGAAGCUGGAACAGUCCACUGAAUGGAUGUAAUGAACUGCAGUAUAUAUGUAUGAUUGCUUUUUAAGUGAUUAUUUUUUUCUUUUGUUAAAUCAUGUAAAUUCUUAGAUCCUUUUGCACUGAUGUGUUGAACCUGAUUGUACAUUCAAUUAAGGCAAACUUUUAUAAUUUACCUUUUGUUUUCAAUGACCUUGAAAUGUUACAGCAUGGUAUUCUAUGCAACUAGUUAUACUUUGAGGUUGACACUGUAUUUUUUCAUUGAUUGAGUGUAGAUUUUCACACCCGGCAGGGUUCUCACACGGUGCGUAAUGGUAGAUGCAUGUACUUGUGUUUUGUGUAAUUGUUGAAGUGCAAUGAUGUAUAAAAAAGUGGAUUCACCUGUUUUUAAAAAUAAAACUGAUAAAAGGUGUUGGAAUAAUA